GAACGCUAGCGGCGCGCUUACGCAUGCAAGUCGAGCGAUGAGGCUCCCUUCGGGGAGUACAUCAGCGGCAGACGGGUGAGUAACACGUAGAUAACCUGCCCUCAAGACGGGGACAACCGGUGGAAACAGCGGCUAAUACCCGAUAUGCUCACAGGAUCGGGAGGUCGAGUGAGGAAAGGCUUCGGUGCUUGAGGAGGGAUCUGCGGCCCAUCAGCUAGUUGGUGAGGUAACGGCUCACCAAGGCGAAGACGGGUAGGGGGUGUGAGAGCAUGGCCCCCCACAAUGGGACUGAGACACGGCCCAUACUCCUACGGGAGGCAGCAGCGGGGAAUAUUGCGCAAUGGACGGAAGUCAGACGCAGCGACGCCGCGUGGGUGAGGAAGGCCUUCGGGUUGUAAAGCCCUUUUCAGGGGAGCGAGAAAGGACGGUACCCUUGGAAUAAGCGUCGGCUAACUACGUGCCAGCAGCCGCGGUAAGACGUAGGACGCAAGCGUUAUCCGGAUUUACUGGGCGUAAAGCGCCUGUAGGCGGUCAAGUAAGUCGGAUGUGAAAGCCCCGUGCUCAACGCGGGGAAGCCAUUCGAUACUGCGUGACUAGAGAACGGCAGAGGGAAACGGAAUUUCUGGUGUAAGCGGUAAAAUGCGCAGAGAUCAGAAAGAACACCGAUGGCGAAGGCAGUUUCCUAGGCCGCAUCUGACGCUGAGAGGCGAAAGCUAGGGGAGCAAACAGAAUUAGAGACCCUGGUAGUCCUAGCUGUAAACGAUGGAUGCUAGGUGUGGGCCGGAAAGGUCCGUGCCGUAGUUAACGCGAUAAGCAUCCCGCCUGGGGAGUACGGCCGCAAGGCUAAAACUCAAACGAAUUGACGGGGACCCGCACAAGCAGCGGAGCGUGCGGUUUAAUUCGAUGCUACACGCAGAACCUUACCUGGGCUUGACAUGUAGGUGGUAGUGAAGUGAAAGCGGAGCGACCCUUCGGGGAGCAUACACAGGUGCUGCAUGGCUGUCGUCAGCUCGUGCCGUGAGGUGUCGGGUUAAGUCCCGUAACGAGCGCAACCAUUGUCCUUAGUUACAAGUGUCUAAGGAGACUGCCGGUGACAAACCGGAGGAAGGUGGGGAUGACGUCAAGUCAGCAUG
rnacentral:rRNA from 1 species